rnacentral:rRNA from 1 species
AGCUCCAAUAGCGUAUAUUAAAGUUGUUGCAGUUAAAAAGCUCGUAGUUGAACUUUGGGUUUGGUUGGGCGGUCUUUCCUUUGGAUUGCACUUCUCUGACUGAACCUUUCCUUCUGGAGAACUAUGGUGCUAUUCAUUUAGUGCUAUAGGGAACCAGGACUUUUACUUUGAAAAAAUUAGAGUGUUUAAAGCAGGCUUACGCUUGAAUACAUUAGCAUGGAAUAAUAGAAUAGGACUUUGGUUUUAUUU